AUGUAUAGUAUCUUAGGGUUUAGU
rnacentral:siRNA from 1 species